UACGGGGGGAGCAAGCGUUGUCCGGAAUUAUUGGGCGUAAAGCGCGUGUAGGCGGCUCGGUAAGUCUGCUGUGAAAGUCCAGGGCUCAACCCUGGAAUGCCGGUGGAUACUGUCGAGCUCGAGUCCGGAAGAGGCGAGUGGAAUUCCUGGUGUAGCGGUGAAAUGCGCAGAUAUCAGGAGGAACACCAAUGGCGAAGGCAGCUCGCUGGGACGGUACUGACGCUGAGACGCGAAAGCGUGGGGAGCAAACAGG
rnacentral:rRNA from 1 species